GACGAACGCUGGCGGCGUGCUUAACACAUGCAAGUCGAACGGAAAGGCCCUGCUUUUGUGGGGUGCUCGAGUGGCGAACGGGUGAGUAACACGUGAGUAACCUGCCCUUGACUUUGGGAUAACUUCAGGAAACUGGGGCUAAUACCGGAUAGGAGCUCCUGCUGCAUGGUGGGGGUUGGAAAGUUUCGGCGGUUGGGGAUGGACUCGCGGCUUAUCAGCUUGUUGGUGGGGUAGUGGCUUACCAAGGCUUUGACGGGUAGCCGGCCUGAGAGGGUGACCGGCCCACUUGGGACUGAGAUUCGGCCCAGACUCCUACGGGAGGCAGCAGUGGGGAAUAUUGCACAAUGGGCGGAAGCCUGAUGCAGCCACGCCGCGUGCGGGAUGACGGCCUUCGGGUUGGAAACCGCUUUCGCCUUUGACGAAGCGUGAGUGACGGUAAUGGGUAAAGAAGCACCGGCUAACUACGUG
rnacentral:rRNA from 1 species